AGUGAACGCUGGCGGUAGGCCUAACACAUGCAAGUCGAACGGCAGCACAGUAAGAGCUUGCUCUUACGGGUGGCGAGUGGCGGACGGGUAAGGAAUACAUCGGAAUCUACUUUUUCGUGGGGGAUAACGUAGGGAAACUUACGCUAAUACCGCAUACGACCUACGGGUGAAAGCAGGGGAUCUUCGGACCUUGCGCGAUUGAAUGAGCCGAUGUCGGAUUAGCUAGUUGGCGGGGUAAAGGCCCACCAAGGCGACGAUCCGUAGCUGGUCUGAGAGGAUGAUCAGCCACACUGGAACUGAGACACGGUCCAGACUCCUACGGGAGGCAGCAGUGGGGAAUAUUGGACAAUGGGCGCAAGCCUGAUCCAGCCAUACCGCGUGGGUGAAGAAGGCCUUCGGGUUGUAAAGCCCUUUUGUUGGGAAAGAAAAGCAGCAGGUUAAUACCCCGCUGUUCUGACGGUACCCAAAGAAUAAGCACCGGCUAACUUUGUG
rnacentral:rRNA from 1 species